rnacentral:misc_RNA from 1 species
AAGUCGUAACAAGGUAACCGUAGGUGAACCUGCGGUUGGAUCAUUACUGAUAAAAAAAUCUUUGCUCCAUUCAACAACCAAGAAAAUAAUAAAAAGAAAAAAAAACAAAAGAGUUGAUACCGAAAGGAAGUCCUCUUUUUUCUUUUUUCUUUUUCUUGGUUUUGGAGCAAUGACCAACCCCUUGUGCACCAUAAUGUUUUUUGGGUUAUAAUAAUAAUAGAGAAAGAGAAUGAUAUUCAAUCUCUCUAUAUAACCCAAACAGUUGUGAACAAACGUUAAGAAUCUAGUCUGAAAUUCUAUAUAUAAAAAAUUUAGAAACAACUUUUGACAACGGAUCUCUUGGCUCUC